rnacentral:rRNA from 1 species
CAGAACGUCGUGAGACAGUUCGGUCCAUAUCCGGUGUGGAUGUUAGAACAUUGAGAGGAUUCUUAUUUAAUACGAAAGGAUCAUUAAGAACAUAUCUAUUGUGUAUC